GAUGAACGCUAGCGGGAGGCUUAACACAUGCAAGUCGAGGGGCAGCAUAGGGUAGCAAUACUCUGAUGGCGACCGGCAAACGGGUGAGGUAACGCGUAUGCAACCUACCCUGUACCAGGGGGAUAACCCGGAGAAAUUCGGACUAAUAUCCCGUAAUAAUAUCCGGAGGCAUCUUUGGAUAUUUAAAGUUCCGACGGUACGGGAUGGGCAUGCGUAACAUUAACUGGUUGGUAAGGUAACGGCUUACCAAGGCUAUGAUGUUUAGGGGUCCUGAGAGGGUGGUCCCCCACACUGGUACUGAGACACGGACCAGACUCCUACGGGAGGCAGCAGUGAGGGAAUUAGUUGGUCAAUGGGCGCAAGCCUGAACCAGCCAUCCCGCGUGCAGGAAGACGGCCCUAUGGGUUGUAAACUGCUUUUCCGAGGGAGAGAAACUUACGCACGUGUUGCGUGACUGACGGUACCCUGGGAAUAAGCAUCGGCUAACUCCGUG
rnacentral:rRNA from 1 species